rnacentral:rRNA from 1 species
UUUUUUUGCGGAGAGUUUGAUCCUGGCUCAGGAUAAACGCUGGCGGCGUGCCUAAUACAUGCAAGUCGAACGGAGGUCCUUUGUAGUAAUACGAGGGAUCUUAGUGGCGAAUGGGUGAGUAACGCGUUGGUGACCUGCCCCGAAGUGAGGGAUAACAGCUCGAAAGGGCUGCUAAUACCCCAUGUGGUCGCAGAGGUUAGAGGCUCUGCGUCUAAAGGUGCAAACCGCUUCGGGAGGGGCCUGCGUCCCAUCAGCUCGUUGGUAGGGUAAUGGCCUACCAAGGCUACGACGGGUCGGGGGCCUGAGAGGGUGGCCCCCCACACUGGCACUGAAACACGGGCCAGACACCUACGGGUGGCAGCAGUAGGGAAUAUUAGACAAUGGGCGAAAGCCUGAUCUAGCAACGCCGCGUGUGCGAUGAAGACCUUCGGGUUGUAAAGCACUUUUCGGGGAGAUGAGGAAGGACAGUAUCCCCGGAAUAAGGAUCGGCUAACUACGUGCCAGCAGCCGCGGUAAUACGUAGGAUCCGAGCGUUAUCCGAAUUUACUGGGCGUAAAGCGUGUGCAGGCGGUUUGGUAAGUUGGAUGUGAAAGCUCCCGGCUCAACUGGGAGAGGCCGUUCAAAACUACCAGACUCGAGGGCAGCAGAGGGAGGUGGAAUUCCCGGUGUAGUAGUGAAAUGCGUAGAUAUCGGGAGGAACACCAGUGGCGAAGGCGGCCUCCUGGGCUGUUCCUGACGCUGAGACACGAAAGCUAGGGUAGCGAACGGGAUUAGAAACCCCGGUAGUCCUAGCCGUAAACGAUGUGAACUUGAUGUCGGUGGGGUAAAAGCCAUCGGUGUCGUAGCUAACGCGUUAAGUUCACCGCCUGGGGACUACGGCCGCAAGGUUAAAACUCAAAGGAAUUGACGGGGACCCGCACAAGCAGCGGAGCGUGUGGUUUAAUUCGUUGCUACGCGAAGAACCUUACCCGGGUUUGACAUGCAGGUGGUAGGGAGCAGAGAUGCGACCGACCCUUCGGGGAGCCUGCACAGGUGCUGCAUGGCUGUCGUCAGCUCGUGCCGUGAGGUGUCCGGUUAAGUCCGGUAACGAGCGCAACCCUUGCCGUAUGUUAUACGUAUCAUACGGGACUGCUGGUAUCAAGCCGGAGGAAGGUGGGGAUGACGUCAAGUCAGCAUGGCCUUUAUAUCCGGGGCUACACACACGCUACAAUGGCCGGUACAAUAGGUUGCAAAGCCGCGAGGCGGAGCCAAUCCUCAAAAUCGGUCUCAGUUCAGAUUGCAGGCUGCAACUCGCCUGCAUGAAGUCGGAGUUGCUAGUAAACGCAGGACAGCUAUACUGCGUUGAAUACGUUCCCGGGUCUUGUACACACCGCCCGUCACGUCAUGGGAGCUGGCAACACCUGAAGCCGGUAUCCUAACCCGCAAGGGAGGGAGCUGUCGAAGGUGGGGCUGGUGACUGGGACGAAGUCGUAACAAGGUAGGAGUACCGGAAGGUGCGCCUGGAUCACCUCCUUUCUAAA